rnacentral:rRNA from 1 species
GGAUAAAACCAUAAGACGAGAAGACCCUAUGGAGCUUUAGACGCCUGAGUAAGUCACGUUAAACACCCCCGGACACGGGGCUAAACCAAAUGAAAAUUACUCCAUGUCUUUGGUUGGGGCGACCGCGGGGAACCAAAAAACCCCCACGUGGACUGGAAUUAUGCAAUUCCACAACUAAGAGCCCCCGCUCUAGUUAACAGUAUCACUGACCAAUUAAGAUCCGGCAGAGCCGAUCAACGAACCGAGUUACCCUAGGGAUAACAGCGCA